rnacentral:rRNA from 1 species
UACAGAGGUCUCAAGCGUUGUUCGGAUUCAUUGGGCGUAAAGGGCGCGUAGGCGGCGGGGUAAGUCGGGUGUGAAAUCUCAGGGCUCAACCCUGAAACUGCACUCGAUACUGCUCUGCUUGAGGACUGGAGAGGAGACUGGAAUUCACGGUGUAGCAGUGAAAUGCGUAGAUAUCGUGAGGAAGACCAGUGGCGAAGGCGGGUCUCUGGACAGUUCCUG